rnacentral:ncRNA from 1 species
CCCAUAGGGGUGCCGAUAUGGUGCUAGUAAUGAGCGUCUAAGGCUGAGAACAGACCCUUAAAACUUGAUCCGGAUAAUGCCGGCGAAAGGAAUGAA